GAUGAACGCUGGCGGCGUGCCUAAUACAUGCAAGUCGAGCGAACGGACGAGAAGCUUGCUUCUCUGAUGUUAGCGGCGGACGGGUGAGUAACACGUGGAUAACCUACCUAUAAGACUGGGAUAACUUCGGGAAACCGGAGCUAAUACCGGAUAAUAUUUUGAACCGCAUGGUUCAAUAGUGAAAGACGGUCUUGCUGUCACUUAUAGAUGGAUCCGCGCUGCAUUAGCUAGUUGGUAAGGUAACGGCUUACCAAGGCAACGAUGCAUAGCCGACCUGAGAGGGUGAUCGGCCACACUGGAACUGGGACACGGUCCAGACUCCUACGGGAGGCAGCAGUAGGGAAUCUUCCGCAAUGGGCGAAAGUCUGACGGAGCAACGCCGCGUGAGUGAUGAAGGUCUUCGGAUCGUAAAACUCUGUUAUUAGGGAAGAACAUAUGUGUAAGUAACUGUGCACAUCUUGACGGUACCUAAUCAGAAAGCCACGGCUAACUACGUG
rnacentral:rRNA from 1 species